GACGAACGCUGGCGGCGUGCUUAACACAUGCAAGUCGAACGGAAAGGCCUUUUCGGAGGUACUCGAGUGGCGAGCGGGUGAGUAACACGUGGGUGAUCUGCCCUGCACUCUGGGAUAAGCCUGGGAAACUGGGUCUAAUACCGGAUAGGACCGCACUUUAGUGUGUGUGGUGGAAAGUUUUUUCGGUGUAGGAUGAGCCCGCGGCCUAUCAGCUUGUUGGUGGGGUAAUGGCCUACCAAGGCGGCGACGGGUAGCCGGACUGAGAGGUUGGUCGGCCACAUUGGGACUGAGAUACGGCCCAGACUCCUACGGGAGGCAGCAGUGGGGAAUAUUGCACAAUGGGCGCAAGCCUGAUGCAGCGACGCCGCGUGGGGGAUGACGGCCUUCGGGUUGUAAACUCCUUUCGCCAGGGACGAAGCGUUUUGUGACGGUACCUGAAGAAGAAGCACCGGCUAACUACGU
rnacentral:rRNA from 1 species